UAGCCUAAUGGUUAAGGCUAUGGAUCGUUAAUCCGGAGAUGGCGGGUUCGAUUCCUGU
rfam:Aedes albopictus isolate Foshan contig40285, whole genome shotgun sequence.